CGACGCACUGGAAUUGCCAUGGCAACAAACAGCUCCGACUUCCGCUUGGAUGGACAACGGACUCGUUUCAUUGGAUAAAAUUACGAAGAUUUAAUUGCUUCCAACUUUUUAAUUAUCAAUUUUCCGGGAAAAUAAAAGCAGUUUUCUUCAUCAGCGAGUAAGACUACACCAAAAGUACGUUUUCUGAAUAUUUUCAGGCUAAAGUUUGACAACAUAUGAAGAAAUUAAAAGAUCCGCUCUGAAUAAUAAAUAAUUAUCUUUGAGAACCAUCGCACCAUUCUCAGCAGGUUCUCUCUUGUUGCUGCUAAGGUAUAUUCAUCCGUGUCCGUUUUAUUCAACUGAGCAAUCAGAGAAUUAAGGGCGACUAUAUAUCUCCCCCGGGUAUCUCUUCUGUAAGUCGCGUAUUUUAUGUUCAUUCAUUCAAUUUUUACGAUUCCCUUUUUAUCUUCAUUUCCUAAAAUUUGUUUAAAGCUCCGUGGAUCAACAGCGACGCACUGGAAUUGCCAUGGCAACAAACAGCUCCGACUUCCGCUUGGAUGGACUAGUCGCGACUAGUCGAUCCUUACUUUGUAUUUUUGUGUGUUAGUUACUUUGUUUAAAAAAUUAUUUAUUUUGUGUUUUAUAUUCUUUGCUACGAUCGACAAGUCACGACUAGCUAGCGCGAGUGCGCGCACCGGGACCCCUGUUCUUAAAUAGUACCACUCUGCCUAAACCCAGGAAUUACUCAAAACCCAUCUACUCAGUCCAAAACCAUUUAUGUUACUCGAUAAGUUCCACUUUAUAAUUGAGAUUCAAUUUGGAGACCGAAAUAAAUAUUCAUGAUUUGUAAUUAACUGUAUAAAACAGUGGUUUUCAACCAGGGUUCCACGGAACCUUAGGGUUCCGCCAGUACAGUCCAGGGGUUCCGCAAGAAGUUACAAAACUGCUAAAAUCGGCAGUAAUUUUUAAGUCUCCUGUGCAGAUAUUUGUGCAUAAGACUAUUAAAUUAUUGCACAGGGGUUCCUCGGACCAGUGGAAUGUUUCCUUGGGGUUCCUCGAGUCAGUGGAAUGUUUCCUUGGGUUCCGCUCCAGCAAAAAGUUUGAAAAGCACUGGCAUAAAACAGCGUUUAAACCACAGAGCAUGUUGUGGCAUAUUCUACACAGGGUCCUAUAUAAAUUAAUUAAUACUAGCAGUAUCGCCCUGAAUUGCUCGGGGUUUGUUUCGACCCCUUUAGAAUUGGAAUUUUCGAAAAAUAAAAAUUUUGCAUUACAUAGCUUGUUUCGAUUUACGUACAUCUUUUGAGUUUGAUACAUUCAAUAAGAUAAAAAGGGGGCGGGAGAAAAUGGACCCUGGAAACCACUGAUAAAGAUCAUUCUCCGAAGUACCCUGGGUACGGUCAGCUGAUGAACAUCACAACCCACUGGGGUAGGUUUAUCAACGAAAAGUACCUUAGUUGAAUUAGGCGUUGCUAAAUGAAACUUGGUAACCCACGAUUCAUUCUUUAUUAAUUGGUUCUCCUAGAAUUUGUUGCUUCUCCAUCGAAAACUAUUUACAAACUGACGAUAUUUAUUUAUUUCGUCUGUCGUUACGUUCCGAGUUCAAAUUCCGCCGAGGUCGAUUUUGCCUUUCAUCCUUUCGGGGUCGAUAAAUUAAGUACCAGUUAUGCACUGGGAUCGAUAUAAUCGACUUAAUCCCUUUGUCUGUCCUUGUUUGUCCCCUCUGUGUUUAGCCCCUUGUGGGUAGUAAAGAAAUAGAAAUAGGUAUUUAUUUAGUGUAGCAGUUUGUUGAUAUCAUACGAUGCUGUUUUCAUUGUUAAUCAAAUGUCAGUCCAUUUUAGAAUUACAUUAACAUAAAUUAUGUUAAUUUUUAUUAAUUUUGUUACUCUUUUACUUGUUUCAGUCAGUUGACUGCGGCCAUGCUGCAGCACCGCCUUUAAUCGAGCGAAUCGACCCCGGGACUUAUUCUUUUUGUAAGCCCAGUACUUAUUCUAUCAGCUCUUUUGCCGAACUGCUAAGUAACGGGGGAC
rnacentral:lncRNA from 1 species